GGACUGUCCACAGCAGCUGACUAUGAUUUGCCUCAUGCUCUAGCAGAGGCAAGGUUUUACCUGCUGUAGAUAGUUUCUACAAUUGUGUAAUGUUUGGAAUUCUAGGAAGUUUUCAGAGGGUAUAGAAAUGCUAGAGCUCCUUUAGGCGGGGAGGGUGGCUGUUGUUCAUUUAAUGAGGUUGGUUGAAGUUUUUUAGUAGCAUGGUCAAGAAGAAACAAUUUAGAUGCAGAGAUUUUGCUAAUUUCUCUCUCUCCUCUCUCCGUGUUUCUCUCCUUUCUAGUGUUAGGGGUUGAAACAGGGAUUAAUGGGUAGGAAAAAGAAGAACCCCUGAAGAAGGAAAGACAGGCUACGCUGAUCAGCAUCUGGAUUAGAUGUGCCUUUAACUUACAUCUUCAGGCCUGGUUGGAUUUGUCAGGAUAUAAGGACAUUGAAAAUCAAUGAUUCCAGAACAAUCACGAGGACUUCUAGCACACCCAGACUGAUCUGCAGAAAAAUUGAAUCCAUUUCCUGGAAAAGAAGUCCCAUUCAAUGUAGCAAGAUCAGAGAAUAUGGAGUGCAGAGAUGGCUCAGUCAUGAAGAGCACGUAUUGUUAUGGAAGAGGACCUGAUUUCAAUUCCCAGCACCCACCUUGGUGGCUCACAACUGGCUGUAACUCCAGUUCCACGGAAUCUACCACCCUUGAUUUACCAAUGAGUGCACGUGUGGACAUGUGAGUGCAUACACACUUACACAUGCACCAAGC
rnacentral:sRNA from 1 species